rnacentral:lncRNA from 1 species
CCUGUGUCUACACACGUUUUACACUUAUAAAACCAGUCCUGUGUGCAUAUUACAAUAACAAAAUAACUGGAAAAAAGUAUAUUCAGUUAUUUCUAGCAGUUUCCUUUUGUGGUUGCAUUAUGAAUAGUUAUUGUCUUCCCACUGCUUUACUAAAUUCCCUAAAAUGUUCUCCACGACAUAUAUUACUUUAAUAGUCAGAAGUAAAGAUUAUUUUUAAAAGCUACAGAUUUUCAUAAGUCCUACAAAGCUACAGUUAUAUCCUGAAGCUUAACUAUGAGGUUUCCUAGAAUGUACUUGGAGUGUACUUUGUUGCUCAGCACCCCCAAAUACUUCUCGGCAGAGUUUUGGUUAUUUCAACUAUUGUUGCCUCAUAGUAAUAAGAUUAGCCCUUGGAGACUUGACUGAAGUUGGUAAAGGGUGUCUUUAUUAUCCUUUUCCUUUUUUUUUUUCCCCAGGAAGAUCUCUCUGUCUCUGCAUUUUUUCCUUUUAUCCACACAUCGACGACUUAUAUCCUUCUUUAUCAGAAGAGGAAAAAUAGUUAUCCUUUGUUACAGGGUUGCUACAUGCAAAAAGCCACACUACGUUAACUGUAGCUCCCCUUUCACUGUUUAACGGUCUGAUCCAGUAGACACUGUAAUUUCAGUUUCAUAGAAGAGAAUGUGGAGUCCUAGAGGUUAAUGUCUAGGGCCAAGGCCAUAAUCCUGGUAAGAGACUGGACAGGACUAGACCUCAGCUGGAGUCUCCAGAUAAGGUCACCAACACCUCCUCCUACCUCUGGGUGUGCCUGGAUGCCUUAGAUCAAGAGGACGUUUCUGAAAACGGACCAUUGAAAUAUUCAGUAAGCACCUACUGGACAGAAGAACGAGGGCCGGGCAUCAGGAAACGAGAGCCAGUCUCAUCUGAGCCCAUGCUUCCUGUCUGUUCCCACCUGAUGAAGAACUUCUGGCAUCAUCUCAUCAAGGAUUCCAGGCUGGACGAAAGCAAAAACCAGGACUAGAAGAAAUGCAAAAGCCAGUGCUUCCUCUUCUACCUGGACCGGAUCCACCACAGUGGCUCUUCACCUCCUUCUCACAUAAGACUCAAAAUAACCCAAUUGGGCCAAAGGGCAACCCUGCUUUCUUCAUUUUAUGGAUUAAAAAUCGAAGCCCGAGGCAUGAAAUGAUCCAUUUAUCAAGGUUAGUAUCAGUCUCCCUGUCUCAUUUUUUCCUCUCUCUGGGUUCUUUGGUUCCAAAGCUGGACUUCUUUUCUUAUGGAGGGAGCCAGUCUCACUUGAUUUCCUUGAGUAAUCUUGACCCAAGAAGUAUUUAAGUGAACGUUGGGUCCAAGCCCACCCACUCCAGCAGAACCUGUGAGGCUUCCUGAUUGCGUUUUCUGUUUCAGAUGACCUGGAAUUUCCCCCGAGCUUGGUAUUCUCUCCCUGCAGCUCCUCUUUCCCAGCAGUAGUGAGUCUAAGAAUACACCUGCCGCCCCCCAGGGCUUCCUCCAGGUCACAAGAGCCUCCGACUUAGCCCAGCAACUUGGGCACAGGUGACUUCCCCAAAACGGGACUGAACAUUAUGGUGACUUUGGAUUUAAUCACUUUCCCACAGAGUGUGGCUCUCCCCUGUGCUCCAGUUUGUCUGUUCACCAUCUUCCUUGCCUCCCCCACUAACCCACAGACACUUGUUCCGCUUCAGAAGCCCUUUCCUGUCAUUUCUGGACUACCCCACAGCCACACCCCCCCAGAAGACGUCAGAUGUGUUCGUCCUGCGUCGGUCGUGGCAGCAGGACCAAAGCUGACAGCCAGCGUUCUCAGUACCCUCGGAAAGGGGGCUGCUGACACCACCAGCAACCAGAGCCAACACGGUUUAUUCAUCUGUUAAAUCAAGAGUGAUGGGAAGACGGUCCAUCCCAGGCGGCGUGUUUUGCACCAGGCAAAUAAUGACGAAUCAUGUGUAAAAUGUUAUAAUUGAAGGCAUACGCCUUCCUCUGAGAAGGAUUCUAGGUGAAAUUCAGAGUGGUUAUUUAUAGACCUGGAGACCAAAGACUGAAGGGCAGGGGAGUGAGGCAUUUUAGAAAAAUAUUUUUCUAGGAAAGGAGAGAGAAAGGACACGGAUCAGGUUAGCCGAGGCGGGAACAUGCACGCAAGGGGAGGAGCGGAGGACGAGGCAGGUUCAGAAGAGCUUUGGAAGGGUGGAAACUUGGACUCUCCAAGAUGGGGAGGGACUGGUGCAGAGAUGUGGUUAGAACUGAAGCCUGGAAUCAGUCCUGGCAAGGCCCCUGCUCCUGGCACGUUGGGGAAGAUGGAUGAAAGGGCGAGUGAGAUGAAGGCAAGGGAAAUUGAGUCAUUGCCCCCCAACGCUCACUCACUGCCGAGGGCAGUGCGCAAACAGCUCAGAAAGAACUCAUGACCGGGGAGGCUCAGGGAAGGCAAAGCCCCUUGCUUCCAGUUCCUGUUUGAAAAUAUAAACAACAUGCAAAUUCAAAUAAAAAAAUUCUUCCUGUGUCA